AUUCCAGCUCCAAUAGCGUAUAUUAAAGUUGUUGCAGUUAAAAAGCUCGUAGUUGGAUUUCUGGACGGAGCAGCCGGUCCGCCGCUGUGCGGUGUGUACUCGUGCUUGACUCGGUUCAUCCUUGUGGGGAAGCGCAUUUCGGCAUUCAGUUGUCGAGGCGGGGAACCACAUCAUUUACUGUGAAAAAAUUAGAGUGUUUAAAGCAGGCAUUUUGCUGUGAAUACAUUAGCAUGGAAUAAUAACAUAGGACUUUGAUUCUAUUUUGUUGGUUGGAGAUCAGGGUAAUGAUUAAUAGGGAUAGUUGGGGGUAUUCAUAUUUAAUUGUCAGAGGUGAAAUUCUUGGAUUUAUGAAAGAUGAACUCAUGCGAAAGCAUUUACCAAGGAUGUUUUCAUCA
rnacentral:rRNA from 1 species